rnacentral:rRNA from 1 species
GCGCGACGCUCUCCCCCAGGACGAAGCCAUGCAUGCCCGCUCACCCGGGACGCGGCGGACGGCUCAGGACAACGGUUGCACCCCCCGCGGCGGUCCCUGCUAGCCGGACACCGCUGGCAACCCGGCGCCAAGACGUGCGCGCAAGGGCGGGCGCCCGCGGGCGAGCAGCGUGACGCAGCGACGGCCCGCCCGGGCUUCCGGGGCAUCACCCGGUCGGCGCGGUCGCGGCGCGCCGAGGGCCCGACGCCUGGCGGAGAAUCAGG